GCGGGUAUAGCUCAAUGGUAGAGCACUAGCCUUCCAAGCUUGUGAUACGGGUUCGAUCCCCGUUACCCGCU
rfam:Sphingomonas indica strain Dd16 genome assembly, chromosome: I